CAUUUAACCUGACAAUUAAGACAUUAUAUGAACUAAUAGCAUAAACGUAUGGAAAUUAUAGUAAUUAACCCGAGCUACCAGUUGAUCGCAACCAAAGCACACAAUCAACAGGGAUUGUUUUCUUCUUCUUCACAUAAAUCAUGACUUUAAAGUGGAUAAAGAGUUAUGUCCUGUGUGUCUUCCAAAAACAUGGACGUCUUAAAACACCUGUUGCAAAUGUGUUACGGUUGCUUGAACCAGCGGCAGGACAAGGGGACACACUAGGCUCCUUCAACAAUGCAGAGUGAACAGUAAGUCGGCCAAAUAAUUUGGGGAUUUUUGAAUGACAUGCAGCAACGUAGUAGUCACACUUUAAAAUCGUUGAGAGAGUUGACUUUGGUGGGAAUUUUUUUUCUCUCAAAACUGGGUUCUUGCAGUUAAUAUCGCUUUGCUUUUGAGCAGUUAUGUGGCAUCUUUGAAUUAUUAAUUUUUAUGCACGAGUCGUUUGCACGUGGUGGGGGGGUGAUAAAUCGCAAUCUGUGGUUACUUUGAGAGUGGAUCUUUGAUACAAGCAUGUGAAAUGAAUAUUGAUUAAAGUGUGAAGUACAUUGGUUAUAUUAAAAAAACAUUUGCACAUGUGUUGUCCAUAUUUAAAACGACAUUUUUGUUAUCCAACUCAUUAGGAUGUACGCACUCUUGUCUGCCCUCCUGGCAGCGUUGACAAAAAAACUGCGCAACCUCAAUUUGGAGUUCAACCAUCAUUGGGGGCAGGAAUACAUACCUUACAAUUUUUUCACAUUUGUUGAUUAUUUUAGCACUGCUAACAUUUUAUUUUGGCAGGUUUCUACUUCCUGUGUUUUUUCUCAUUAAUCGUGGCUUCAAAGACAUCUCAGCCAGAGCAGGUAUUGAUCAGCGUUUGCAGACAAAGGACUUGAUUUUUAUCGUCUGCACUGUGAAUUUGAGUCACAUCUGUGGGCUGGGUGAUAAGAAGGAGCGCCGACCGAGUGGCAAAACAACUUUUCCUGUGGUUCCUCCCAGAAGUGUCAUCCAGCCAUCCAUUUACUGAGCCGCUUAUCCUCACGUGGGUCGGACAAGAGGCAGGGUACAUCCUGGACUGGCUGACAGCCAAUCGCAGGGCAAAUGGAGACAGACAACAGCCACACUAACAAUCACAUCUAUCCAUCCGUUUUCUUUUGCCGCUUAUCCUCAAGAAGGUCGCGGGGAGUGCUGGAGCCUAUCCCAGCUGUCAUCGGGCAGGAGGCAGGGUACACCCUGGACUGACUGACAGCCAAUCGCAGGCCACUUAGAGACAAACAGAUGCACUCACAAUCACACCUAGGGGCAAUUUAGGGUGUCCAAUUAAUGUUGCAUGUUUCUGGGAUGUGGGAGGAAACCGGAGAACCCGGAGAAAACCCACGCAGGCAAGGAGAACUCCAGGGAGGCAGGGCCAGGAUUAGAACCCCGGUCCUAAGAACUGUGAGGCCAACGCUCUACACCCCACCGUAAUGUGGAGCAUCGACAUGUGCGGCCUUUUAGGGAAUGACAUACUCACAAAUGUACUUUUUCAAACUGCGACACACCUCGUCGUACCACUUGCCGUGCGCCGCCACCGAAAGAGC